rnacentral:rRNA from 1 species
AGAAGUAAGUAAGAGCGCAUGGAGGAUGCCUAGGCUCUCAAAGGCGAAGAAGGACGUGAUAAGCUGCGAAAAGCUGUGGGUAGCCGCAAAUAGGCUGUGAUCCACAGAUAUCCGAAUGGGGCAACCCAGUGUGUUGAAGACACAUUACCCUGCAAGGGGAGCAAACUCAGGGAACUGAAACAUCUAAGUACCUGAAGGAAGAGAAAACAAACUAGUGAUUGCGCCAGUAGUGGCGAGCGAAAGCGCAAGAGCCCAAACCUUAUUAGUUACGGCUAGUGAGGGGUUAUAGGACUACAUAAUUGAAACCGACGACGACAUGAACCGGGUGGGAAACCGGGCCAAAGAGGGUGAUAGCCCCGUAAAGGAAGUUGAAGGGGAGAGGUAGUAUCCUGAGUAGGGCGGGGUCGGAGACGCCCCGUCUGAAUUUGCCGGCACCAUCCGGUAAGGCUAAAUACUCCUGAGAGACCGAUAGUGAACCAGUACUGUGAAGGAAAGGUGAAAAGCACUCCGAAUAGGAGGGUGAAAAGAGAACCUGAAACUGUACGCUUACAAGCGGUUGGAGCCCCGAGAUGGGGUGACAGCGUGCCUUUUGCAUAAUGAGCCUACGAGUUACUGUCACUGGCGAGGUUAAUCCGUUCAAGCGGAGCAGCCGGAGCGAAAGCGAGUCUGAAUAGGGCGCAUAGUCAGUGGGAGUAGACGCGAAACUUUGUGAUCUACCCUUGGUCAGGAUGAAGCCCCGAUAACACGGGGUGGAGGUCCGAACUAGUAAACGUUGAAAAGUUUUUGGAUGAACUGAGGGUAGGGGUGAAAGGCUAAUCAAACUGAGAAAUAGCUCGUACUCCCCGAAAUGUUUUUAGGAACAGUGUGGAGGUUUGAGUUUAAUACAGGUAGAGCUACCAAUUGGACUAGGGGGAGUCACAUCCUACCAAAUCCAGAUGAACUCCGAAUGGUAUUAAAUAUACUCUGCAAUGAGGGCGCGGGUGCUAAGGUCCGUGUCCGAGAGGGAAAGAACCCAGACCAACAGCUAAGGUCCCUAAAUCUAUACUAAGUUGAACUAAGGCGGUUCAGUUGCUGAGACAGCCAGGAGGUUAGCUUGGAAGCAGCUAUUCCUUUAAAGAGUGCGUAACAGCUCACUGGUCGAGCGACAGAGCAUCGAUAAUAAUCGGGCAUAAAGUAUAGUACCGAAGCUUAGGAUUGACAGCAAUGUCAGUGGUAGGGGAGCAUUCUAACAGCGGAGAAGCAGUCUGGUAAUGGAUUGUGGAGCGGUUAGAAAAGCAAAUGUAGGCAUAAGUAACGAUAAGGCGGGAGAGAACCCCGCCCACCGAUAGACUAAGGGUUCCGCGGCAAUGUCAAUCAACCGCGGGUAAGUCGGGACCUAAGGCGAAUCCGAAAGGAAUAGUCGAUGGACAACUGGUUAAUAUUCCAGUACUACCGUAAUGAGCGAAGUGGAGAAGGAGGAGUGAAAGUUCUGCCCCGAGACGAAACACGGGGUUAAAGGGUGUAGGUAUAGAGUUUACAGGCAAAUCCGUAGACUUUGCUGAAACCUGAUAGUACUCGGAGGCUUCGGCCGAAGAGAUAUGAACCUAAACAGACUUCCGAGAAAAACUGCUAAGCAUAUUGUUAUGGUACCCGUACCGCAAACCGACACAGGUAGUCAAGGAGAGAAUCCUAAGGUGCUCGAGUGAAUCAUGGCUAAGGAACUCGGCAAAUUAAUCCUGUAACUUCGGGAAAAGGGAUGCCUACUUUCUAGCAAUAGAGAGAGGUCGCAGAGAAAUGGCCCAGGCGACUGUUUAACAAAAACACAUGGCUAUGCGAAAUCGAAAGAUUAAGUAUAUGGCCUGACACCUGCCCGGUGCUGGAAGGUUAAGGGGGGGCGUAAGCCGCAAGGCGAAGCGCUGAACUGAAGCCCCAGUAAACGGCGGCCGUAACUAUAACGGUCCUAAGGUAGCGAAAUUCCUUGUCGGGUAAGUUCCGACCUGCACGAAUGGUGUAACGAUCUGGGCGCUGUCUCAGCCAUGAGCUCGGUGAAAUUGUAGUCACGGUGAAGAUGCCGUGUACCCGUCACGGGACGGAAAGACCCCAUGAACCUUUACUAUAGCUUCACAUUGGUAUUGGGAGAAUGAUGUGUAGGAUAGGUGGGAGGCGUUGAUCCUGGGCCGCUAGGUUUAGGGGAGCCAACGGUGAAAUACCACCCUUUAUUUUCUUGAUGCCUAACCCCGCAGAAGCGGGGGACAUUGUGUGGUGGGUAGUUUGACUGGGGUGGUCGCCUCCGAAAGUGUAUCGGAGGCUUUCAAAGGUACCCUCAG